rnacentral:misc_RNA from 1 species
GAAAUGCGAUAAGUAAUGUGAAUUGCAGAAUUCAGUGAAUCAUCGAAUCUUUGAACGCACAUUGCGCCUAUUAGUAUUCUAGUAGGCAUGCCUGUUCGAGCGUCAUUUCAACCCUCAAGCCCUGGUUGCUUGGUGUUGGGGAUUGGCAUCCAGCCAGCCCCGAAAUCUAGUGGCGGUCCCUCCGCGACCUCCCCUGUGCAGUAGCGAUACCUCGCAGCGGGACAGCGGUCUGACCACGCCGUAAAACCCCCAACUUCUCAAGGUUGACCUCGAAUCAGGUAGGAAUACCCGCUGAAGUUAAGC